rnacentral:rRNA from 1 species
GACGAACCGGGCGAACGUUGUUCGGAAUCACUGGGCUUAAAGGGUGCGUAGGCGGGUUGUCCAGUCUGGGGUGAAAUCCCACGGCUCAACCGUGGAACUGCCUCAGAUACUGACGACCUCGAGGGAGGUAGGGGCGAGCGGAACUGUGGGUGGAGCGGUGAAAUGCGUUGAUAUCCACAGGAACUCCGGUGGCGAAGGCGGCUCGCUGGACCGCUUCUGACGCUGAGGCACGAAAGCUAGGGGAGCAAACGGG